CCCACUGGUCCAGCCAAGU
rnacentral:misc_RNA from 1 species